GCGUGCUAGCCAAUCACUCUACCAACCGAGCUAAAAUCCCAGCCUGUUAUACAAGAAAGAAACGAGAGAUGGAGGGAAUUAAAAUGAGGGCAUGCAUGAACAUCAUCCCCCAAGUGCUGCCUCAGCAUCUCAGGUCUCCAACCGGAGCUGCCUGCCCUUAACCACGGAGGAGCUGGGAGCUGUCACCUUUAAGGGGAACCAGCCCUUCACGCAGCACAGCUAAAGAUAAAAGGACCUCAUCACAGAUGUGUCUGCACCACGUUUGGGUGUCUCUGGCUGUCAGCUCUCCAGUGCCAAACAGAAGUGUCCCACUGCCACCCCUAAAGCCCUCGGAAUGAAGAACAAACUGCCCACCCAACAUCUGCUUCUAGGAGAGGUGUGUAGGCUGAGCUCUACUGGCAAGAGCUGUGUGACCCCAGGCAAGUCACUUGACCUCUCCGAGCUGGCAUUCUCAUCUGGAAAGCUGGCAUAACACUCCAUCUUCUCUAAGAUGCUGCGAGGAACGAAAAUAUGUAUCUGCUGUGCCCGUCUCAGCAUUUCAAGGUACUCGGGACGCUGGGCGUGGUGGCACUGAGGCAGGAUCUCUGAGUUCAAGGCCAGCCUGGUCUACAGAGUGAGUUCCAGGGCGGCCAGUGUCACAAGGGAGGCUUGCAAGACACAGGACCUCUGAAAGUGCAGUCAAUGCUCUUACCCACUGAGCCAUCUCGCCUGCUUCCCUAUGUUGAUUUUUAACGUGCAGGCUGAACAAAGCCAUCUUGCAGACUGGUAUACACUGUAGCAAGGCUUGAAUGCUGGGAUACAGGGG
rnacentral:lncRNA from 1 species